rnacentral:ncRNA from 1 species
CUGUUGCAAUAGUAAUCCUGCUCAGUACGAGAGGAACCGCAGGUUCAGAUAUCUGGUGUGUGUGCUUGGCUGAGGAGCCAAAGGUGUGGAGCUGCCAUCUGUGAGAUUAUGACUUAACACCUCUAAGUCAGAAUCUCCCCUAAAUGAGAAAG